UAACUACAUACAGACAGCUUCUCACUAUAGAAAGAGGUGUAUUACAGUUAAAACCCUUGAAUGUACUAAAAGAGGAAAAGGUAAUUCAAACAUGGUUUCAGUAUGGACAGUUACAGGCCAGAUGGAAAAAAGAU